UUAGGUUUAAUGAUAAUCAAAAAAAAAGAAUAUGCGGAAAGUCAUAGUCAUUACGUAGGAGGGCCACGGGAAGGAUGACGACGACGUCGAAGACGAUGACGAUGAUAGUAAGGAAGUAUGUAUUUCACUCUUUAGAAUGGCAGGAAACGGAUGGAUCCGACUCGACGAUGGCGAUGUACCAAAUGUUACGUGUCUCUCUUUUUCUCUUUUAAUCUUUCUCUCUCUUUCUCUCUCCUCUCUUUUUCUGUCGCCAUGCAUCGAUGCACGACGCGUUAAACGUCUAAUAAAUAAUACUACUAAUGAUAAUAACGACAACAACAAUAAUAAUAAUAAACACAUAACCUUCUUCUCUUUGCAUUUCCGUAUGCAAUAAAACUCCUCGCGCUAGCUUGGUUAAACGAGAACUAGGGAUUAUCGAAAUCAUUGGAAAUUCGUUCGAUUAACUUACUCUCGAUUAUCUUCAACGCAGGUCAUCGAGCCUUCGCGUAAACACACGCUCGUACUACGAUCAAACGAUACGAUCUCUCGCGAUGAAAUUACGUAAGUCGUGUCGAUUUAUCGCAGCGAUAUCUCGAAGCAUAAUGCGAUUCAUUUAUCGUGAGAGCGAUAAGUAUCAGGUCAGGUGAGUUUAUGUCUGUUAUCAAGACCAUCCCAUUCUAUUUUUUUCUUUUUUUUUCUUUUUCUUUUUUCUUCUCUUUUUUUUCUUUUUCUCUUUUUUUCUCGGAUGAAUUUUCUUUUAACGGCCGAGCGAUUAGCCUAUUUGCUUUGCAAUUAGACUUUUUUCUUUUGCUCCUUUUUCUUUUUUCUUUCUUUUUCAUUUUUUUUUGCAGGAAGAACAAAUAACGAAGACGACGCAUCGUCGUUGGUGGUGGUAAAUUGCUCGAUUAACCGUGUAAUUAAGUCGGCUUCUCUUGACGAACGAAAAUACGGAAAUUACAUGGUUCCAUCGUACGUACGUAUAUACAUCAUACAUACACAUAUAUAUACGUCUAGUUGCAUAUAUACAACUGACUGCUUUCUUUUCAAUUUUUUCUUGCCUUUUUUCUUCGUGUUUCUUUUUUUCUUUUGCCUUUUCCUUUUCUUUUUUUUUCGUCCAUUCCAAAAGGAGCCGUCUGUUAAAGCUCGAACGUCGUUGCAACGCGCUUACGCACGUUCUAUCAUUAUGGCCGGUAAUGGCCGGUAAUCGCGCACACCAACAGAACCAUUUUACGGUGCUAUUUUGCGCGCAAGGGAAACGAGGGCCCGGUUCUCCUGUGUGAGGAUUUAAAACGAUCCAUGGUAGGUGGAGGGAGAGAUGGUCAAAAAUAUUUGACGUCAUUGACGAUACGUUAUCCGAAAGUAUCGACGUCCUAUGCGAGUAGCAUGCUUUUAUACAUGCACCUAUACUGUGUGUAUUCAUAUAUGUAUAUGACCGAGCACCCUUCCCGUCCAACAAAUUCCCUCUACGUUAUCGCCGGAAAUGAAAUUCUUGGGUAAAUCCUUCGAAUCUUAUCCUCGAACCUAUCGCUUCCUUUCGCACGAUAAAGAAUAAUGCGUUCUUUAUGCAUUCGCUCGAAUUUCGUUUCGAAUUUAAAAGAAGAAAGAAAAGAAGGAAAAGAGAAGAAAAAAUAUAUACAAAAAAAUCGAUCGUCUUAGAAAAUAAUAAAGAAAAGGUGCGUAGGUAGAAAGGUCUCGUCAAAAUCCGCAAACUUUUGCAAAUUCUGAACGGAAGAAGAAGAAGAAAGGACAAAAGGAAAAGAAGAAAAAGAAGUAGAAUAAUUUCGUUCUUUCAUCGAUUGGAAAGAGUCACGUAUUGCAUCAUAAUUGUUUGUAUACACGUUCCUCGUGCGGUCUGUUCCUUUUGCGUGCCUGUUCAUUGAUAAUGUAAAACAUUACAGGAAUGGGUGUCUCUUAUCGGUCUACAACGAAACUCUUUUAUACGUUAAGGCACGCGACUUAUCGGACGUUAUCUGACGCAUUAUGAAAGGAUCGAAGAUAAGUGGCUCUUAUAUGUAUACAUACAUCUUAUACAUAUAUACAUAACUACUUACGUACAUAAAUGUAUUAUAUACGUACGUACGUACGUACGUAUGUAUGUAUGUAUGGAUGGAUGGAUGUACAUAAAUACGAACGGGGCUCGAUAAAGUGCUAAUUUAUGUGUCUAAUAGUGUAUCGUGCAAAUUAGUCCUUGAAAAAUGUUUUAAUGUUUUUAUACGCAAUGUCGUAUAGUAACAUAUAUAUAUAUAUAUGUAUGUAUGUAUGUAUGUAUGUAUGUAUGUGUGUGUGUACGAAAGAAAAAGGAUAGUCAAGAAUGUGAUCUUUUUAAAAGGAAAAAGAAAAGACAAAGUAGAUAAAACAAUAUAAAAGAAAAAUUAAAAAGAAAAAAAAAGAAAGAACGGAGGGAACCAAAUUAAAAUCGCGCUGUUAGUGAACGCUGCAAUUUCAUUCUCGAUCGAGAAAGUCUCGUAAUCGCGAUUUAAAUAAACACGAUGAAUAUCGUGUCGUGGAAUGAGAUGAAGAAAGAAAGUCGAUGACGAGAUACGUUUUGCGAGAUAGAGAAAGAGAGAGAGAGAGCCAAGCGCGAAAAAUGAUCGCGAUCUCUGCCGUAUAAGUAUCUCUAAGUACAUAUAUACAUACAUACAUACAUACAUACAUACAUACAUACAUACAUACAUACAUACAUAUAUAUAUAUAUUCACGUAUAAAUGUAUCGGUGUACGUGAUACGAUCGUCUAUACGUGUACGAUGACGUAGAGAGAAAUAUCACGUACGAAUGUGGAGCAUUAUCGGCGGUAACCAAUCGAAGAGAAAUCGUGUGCGUUUAUGUGUUACUACGCGGCUCGCGACCGGCUCGAUCAACCGAACGAACGCGUGAAUGGAACUGGUGUGUUGUGUUGUGGUGGUGGUGAUGUGGUGGUGGUGGUGGUAGUAGUAGUAGUGGUGAUGGUGGUGGUGGUAGAGUGCUGAAGCUAGAAGGAAAAAAUAUGAAUGAAGUCGUGGUAGUGACAGUCGCGUACGUACGGGCUUUACGUUCUUAACGCGCAUGCGUCCUGACGUAACGCACGUAGCACGUGCAUCGUUCCGUGCCAUUCAGCGUGAACGCGUAAUGCUAUGCACGACACGACUACUUACAACGACUGACGACUACACAACGACGACGACACGACGACGACGACGAUGAUCGUCGAAGAUAGACACCACACCACAUCGAAUCACAGCAACGUGGACGACAAAGACGACUAUGUCGAGAAUCAACGGAAGUAGGGAACUGGGAUACGGGUCAAAGAGUCCGGAAGGAGCCAGGAAUUCGAUUCUUUAAUAUUACAAGCCGAGAUUCAAGGACGUCGACCGGUCUCUCGUCUACGAAGUAAAGAAAAAUCGAUGGGGGAUAGUAGACGGCAUGGGAAGUCGAGGUAGACUUCCCAAGCGGGGAAUCAUCGAGGGAGGAAGCCCAUCCGUCCGGAGGGGCUUUCACAAAACCCUAUUCACUGGAUAAAUGAAUGAAGAUGAAAAAGAAAAAAAAAGAGAGAAAGAGAGACAGAUAGAUAUAUGGACAGAUAGAGAUAGAUAGAUAGAUACACCGAUAGAUAGAUAAAUAGAGAGAGAGAGAGAGAGAGAGAGAGAAAAAAGCCGAGCAAAACAUACGACCCAUAAUUUAAUUAUAAUUAACUUCCGUCGAUAUAUUACAUUAUAUAAUUCAAUCGUGCCCACGCAAUAGCGCUCCUUUUCCGGCAUAACUUGACUUGCCUGGUAUUAACGCGUGGAGGAGUUAGAAAGAGAAAGAAAGAAAGAAAGAAAGAUAUAUAGAAUAGAUGAAGUAGCUCAAGAAACACGUUAUACACGUCAACGAGUUUUCGCUAAUCUUUUCAAUGAAAUUAUUAGUAUGUACUUCAAGAAUAUAAAAUAAUCCUUUCAAGUAUGUACAGUUAAUACUUGCAUAUAUAAAAUUGCACAUAUAAUUAUAAUAAUAAUCUACACUUACGCACACACACACACACAUAUAUAUGUACAUAAAAUUAUAGUAUCAAUAAAAAUAUAAAAAUAUAAAAUACAGUAUUAAUAAAAAUUAUAUAUAAGCGUAGAAUAUCUCUGUAUAAGAAAAAAAGGAAAAACUAUUAAAUUAAAUCAGAUAAAUACAACGAGAGAUCUAUAGAUCCGUUGAUUUCGAAUCGCUUUCGAAAGAGAUGAUUUAAAAAACUCGAAAGUAAAUACCAUCUACGAAGCGUGUAAUCACGAUGAAUAUCGGAAUCGGAGAAAGGACUGUACUGAGAAAUUUUGGUACGGAGGAUGAUCCGCAAACCGUGACCGAGGUGAAGGAACACGGUGGAUGAUCGCGAUUCGAGAGAGGAACGCGGCCGUUCGCACGAACAUAAAACCGCAACUUGCUUUCCCGCUUUCGUCCUGUUUCUUCUCUUACAAUGAGAAACGACAGACAAAUGUUGAGUAUUUUCUUCGUAUCCUUUCUCUUUCUCUUUCUCUCUUUUUCUUUCUGUCUUUAUCUCUCUUUCUUAUUUUAUUCUUCCCCUUUUCUUUCUACAUCGUUCUUUUUAUUAUCGUUGUUAUUAAAAUGAGAGUGCAUUAUAAUUUAGCUGAUAUAGUCGAGAUAAAUAAAAAAAAAAAAAAAUAAAAAAAAAGAAAAAAGAAAAAAGAAAAAAAGAAAAAGAAAAAAAUAAGAAACAAUUUUGAAUUAAUUUGUUCACGAGGGAAAUCGUGUAAACUCGGUCUUGCACGAGUCGACGAGUCCUUCUUCGACUCGUCAUUAACAUCGAAUGCCUUCUUGGUUCCCGCGUACGGGAGAGAAUGCAACAGGUGAGCUCACUUGAUUUUACAUUGAAAGCUUUCAAGAGGAAAUAAAAAAAGAAAGAAAAAAGAAAAAGAAAGAGAGAGAGAGAGAAAGAGAGAGAACAUUUUCUUCUUUCUUGAUAAUUACUCAUCGUCAAUUUUCACGUGUAAUUCAUGUUACGUUGUGUCGUUGAAUAGAUUAAUUAGAUGCUUCCUAAGACAGAGUAAUCUUAAGAUCAAACCUUUGGAACCCUCUGUAUCUUCUUUCCUAUAUAUAUGUAUAUAUACACGCCCAUAUAUAUGUAUAUAUAUAUGUAUAUAUUCAUACGUAGGAGUAAUUACACGAUGACUUUUCCGACUCUUGGAAAACAAUAGUCCGAGAAAGGGUCGUCCUACUUAUGCCUGCGAAUUCACGGAUAUGUUCAGUUUGAACAAUUUGCCUCAUAAAGUCAGUAGAGAACAUGCAAUUUAUGUAUAUACAUAUACACA